GCGGCUCAGUGAGUCAGUGCAUCUGGCUGUUAACCAAAAGGUUGGUGGUUCAAGUCCACCCAGGGACG